GAUGAACGCUGGCGGCGUGCCUAAUACAUGCAAGUCGAGCGAACGGACGAGAAGCUUGCUUCUCUGAUGUUAGCGGCGGACGGGUGAGUAACACGUGGAUAACCUACCUAUAAGACUGGGAUAACUUCGGGAAACCGGAGCUAAUACCGGAUAAUAUUUUGAACCGCAUGGUUCAAAAGUGAAAGACGGUCUUGCUGUCACUUAUAGAUGGAUCCGCGCUGCAUUAGCUAGUUGGUAAGGUAACGGCUUACCAAGGCAACGAUGCAUAGCCGACCUGAGAGGGUGAUCGGCCACACUGGAACUGAGACACGGUCCAGACUCCUACGGGAGGCAGCAGUAGGGAAUCUUCCGCAAUGGGCGAAAGCCUGACGGGGCAACGCCGCGUGAGUGAUGAAGGUCUUCGGAUCGUAAAACUCUGUUAUUAGGGAAGAGCAUAUGUGUAAGUAACUGUGCACAUCUUGACGGUACCUAAUCAGAAAGCCACGGCUAACUACGUG
rnacentral:rRNA from 1 species